GACGAACGCUGGCGGCGUGCUUAACACAUGCAAGUCGAACGCAGUGGCGCACGGGUGCGUCACGCGUAAUCAACCUGCCCUUCAGAGGGGGACAACAGUUGGAAACGACUGCUCAUACCGCAUACUGAAGGCUGGGCUUUCGUCUGAGUAGCUAGUGGGAGGGGUAACGGCCCACCAAGGCGAUGAUCAGUAGCCGGUCGGAGAGGAUGAACGGCAACAGUGGGACUGAGAAAAGGCCCAGACGCCUACGGGAGGCAGCAGGGGGGAAGCGUCCGCAAUGGAAGAAAGUCUGACGGAGCAACGCCGGGUGAGUGAUGACGGCCUUCGGGUCGUAAAGCGCUGUUAAUCGGGACGCGGUACCGGAAUAGAAAGCCACGGCUAACUACGUGCCAGCAGCCGCGGUAAUAC
rnacentral:rRNA from 1 species